rnacentral:rRNA from 1 species
AACGAACGCUGGCGGUAGGCCUAACACAUGCAAGUCGAGCGAGGACUUCGGUCCUAGCGGCGGACGGGUGAGUAACGCGUGGGAACGUGCCCUUUGCCUCGGAAUAGCCCUGGGAAACUGGGAGUAAUACCGGAUGAGCCCUUUGGGGGAAAGAUUUAUCGGCGAAGGAUCGGCCCGCGUUGGAUUAGGUAGUUGGUGGGGUAAUGGCCUACCAAGCCGACGAUCCAUAGCUGGUUUGAGAGGAUGAUCAGCCACACUGGGACUGGGACACGGCCCAGACUCCUACGGGAGGCAGGAGUGGGGAAUCUUAGACAAUGGGGGAAACCCUGAUCGAGCCAUGCCGCGUGAGCGAUGAAGGCCUUAGGGUUGUAAAGCUCUUUCAGCUGGGAAGAUAAUGACGGUACCAGCAGAAGAAGCCCCGGCUAACUCCGUG